AGUGAACGCUGGCGGCAGGCCUAACACAUGCAAGUCGAACGGCAGCACAGUAAGUGCUUGCUCUUACGGGUGGCGAGUGGCGGACGUGUGCGGAAUACAUCGGAACCUCUAUUUUCGUGGGGGCUAACGUACGGGAACUUACGCUAUUACCGCAUACCACCUGCGGGUGAGUGCAGUGGAUCUUCGGACCUUGCGCGACUGAAUUACACGAUGUCGGAUUAGCUAGUUGGCGGGGUAAAGGCCCACCACGCCGACGAUCCGUAGCUGGUCUGCGAGGAUGAUCAGCCACACUGGAACUGAGACACGGUCCAGACUCCUACGGGAGGCAGCAGUGGGGAAUAUUGGACAAUGGGCGCAAGCCUGAUCCAGCCAUACCGCGUGGGUGAAGAAGGCCUUCGGGUUGUAAAGCCCUUUUGUUGGGAAAGAAAAGCAGCAGGUUAAUACCACGCUGUUCUGACGGUACCCAAAGAAUAAGCACCGGCUAACUUCGUG
rnacentral:rRNA from 1 species